AAUUUACAUAAAAAUUUUGAAUAAUUUGCUACUCGUCGCAGAACAGAAUUUUUGUGAAAAAAUGAUAUUUUGAAACUCGGGUAGCAAGCAAACGAAUCAUUGUCUUGAAUAAAAACGAAAAAUACAUGUAGAUAUCGAUAGCGAAAUGCGCAGGAAUUAAGUGUAGCAAGAUAAAUCCUUGGAAAACUAAUUGACUGUUUAAUAAAACAUUGCAAUUUACCGAGGACCUUGCCAGCACUCGACAAAACCGUACUCCUGUUUAACGUACAUUGUAUUUUUUUCGUACCUAUUUGUUUAAAGCAUUCCGUGAUAAAGAAGAAAGAGAAAUGUUUUAUUUUCUCUACUUAUAAUGGAAGAUAGUAGAGGAACUAAAGCGCGACUUUCCAUUGCUUUCCUUUAAAGAUUCGUAAGUUCGAUCGCGACAUUGUGAUUUUAUGUAGAUCCAUAGUUCUUUCACUCUUUUCUCCGUUUGAUCAAUUUUUUUCUUUUAUUUUCUAUUAUCCUUAUUUUAAUCAAUUCACAUAUAUCAAACGUUUUUGUUUUAACCUUUUCUUUUAACAGAUCCAAGGUACUUACAGACUUAUAGAUCAUUUUAUUUCAUGUCUUUAGAAGCAAUUUUCUUUUCCUCCUAUUUUUCACUUUUUAUUUUAAAAACUCAUGGACGAAGGUAUAUGAAUUAUUAUUUAUAGAUUACAAAAAUGUAUCUUUUUUUAUUACGACUCGCGUUAUUUGACUAUCUGAAAUUUCUAUGGAUCUACCUCGAUUCGCCUACUAUCACAGAAAAUCGAUUUUUGGUUCCUCCUUAAGUUAUCUGUGUUUUAUAAUUCAUAUGGCCUAAGAUCUAAGACAUAACUUACACUUUUUUCUGUUCGAACAUUUUUACUUAUUCUAACAUAUCGAAAUUUUUAAACUUUUAAAUAAUCCCCAAUAUACUUUGAAACGCUUUCAACAACUAUUUCGUCGAUUAUGAUGUUGUAAAUGAUACAUGAGAAGCAAGUUCAUUGAUAUGUUACGAUAAAAAUGUCCUGUUUGGUAAAUAUAUACACUUAUUAGUCAAUGCGUGGAUUUAUCUAACGUUUUAACAAAAUUAUUAAUUAAGUAUGAAAAUGUCCAUUAUUCUUGGUAAAUGUAUUCCUUCCUUAAAUAAUACAUGUGUAUGACUAUGAUCUAUUAGUAAAAACUUAAAUUCCAUUGUUUGCGAAUACAUUUACUUACAAAAUUGAUACAGACACACAAAUUGACUAGAUGUAUAAAUUUAUUAUAAGGAAUAGAUUUAAUUUCCCACAUCAUGGAAAAUCUCCAAUAUCUCAGUUCGGUCGUUACGUUACUGGUUCUAUUGUCUCCUUUUACAAGUGUUUUAAAGGGCGAACGCCGGUGAAUUUCAAAGAAUGUGGCGGGAUGUGUAUCGAUUUGUAUAUACCAGCGCGUGAUAGAUACGAAUACAUAAUACUUGUAACACGAGCACGUACAAUGGCCUGAACAGAAUGUAUAAAAUACAUAUUGUACAGUUUUUAGCGUUAUAUCAUUACCUUUUUCUCCGCGCACGAAGCAAAGGCAAGGAGGAAGAGAUAUGCCCAUUAACGGUCCUCUACUAUUUCACCACUCUCACCGCUUGCUUUCUCUUUCAAUUUUUUUCAACGUCUGUAAUCGAGUUACCGAGUGAAAAUUAAUAAAAAAAAAAAAAAUAUAGAUCGCGUGCAAAUGUAUCUCUGCUUGAAAUUUUGAGCCUGGUGAAUUGCGUUUCGCCACGAAACUCGCCCUUUGCGGUCUCCAUCUAUACAAUCGAUUCCAAAAUCAAUCAAAUCUGACCGUUAAAACUGACAUAUAAUUCUGUAAAGCAUUUCUAUAAUUUUUUAAAUAUUCCUCCUUUAAAAGUAAUUAAAAUAAUCAUUCGUUUCGUCAGUAAAGUCUUAAAAAAAAAAAAAAAAGAAAAGAAAAAAUCGAAAUAUCGAUCGUUUGUACGGAUUGGAUUGCAAAGAGUGGAAUCUACUCGAAAUUUUACAAAGGAUCUUAUAAAACAGGAUUUACUCGAAAUCUUAUGUAUCGACGAAUGUGUCCACUGGAUAGGCUUGUUAUAAAUUAGAAUAAUGCGUAUAGAUAAAUGUAUAUAUAUAUAGACAGUAAGAUUGAAAGGUAAUCUUGGCAGCUCGAGCAACGUGUUUCGCGUGUCAUCGUUGCUACGUUAUUUUCUUACAAAGGAAUUCACAAAGUUGAAGAUAUAUCCUAAGCUGAAUUCUUUGUUCGCGAGGCUACAAUGUUGUGGUAUCGAUUUUGGCUAGCGAUGCACGCGAUACACCAUGUGUGCGUGAUUUAAGUAUUCUACCAAUUCCUAGCGUGAACUUUCAUGUUGUUUUACUUCAAAUGAUUAAUACGCGCAAAUGUACAUGUAUAUAUGUGUAUGUAUGGCGUUUUUGGUAAAUAGAAAAGCGCGAAAGUGAUUUAUGUAGCGAUGUAACACACGAUCUGUUGGGAAUAUUUUUGCGAAGCAAAUGUGCAAAUAUAUCCCCGAUGAUCGCUCGUUUCGAAAAAGUGCAAUUUGUUUCUAGAUAAAACAACCCUUGAAUGAAACUCGAACGAUAAUAGACGAUUUAUACACCUCGACUUCCUCUUUCGUUUCUUUUUUACAUCUAACGAUAUACAUAAAAGUAUAAUUCUUUAUUUAAACAUACAUAAUUCCUUUAUCUCCUGAUUUUAUUCCUCGCAAUUCUAACAACUUUUGUUCUUAUUUUCUUAAACCGAAUAAAUUGCAUGUUAAUAGGAAAUUGGAUAGACUUUAGAGACGUACAAGUGGAUACAAGCUAGAAAGCUGUAACGCUGUAAUGGUAGUUUAGAAGUCGAGUCGUUUGUUAUUACGUUCUGACAAGUUGCUGUAUCGGUCAAGUUUCAUUUGAGCGAUUUUACCGCGAUAUCGAAGAACAGACGCAAUGUUAUAAACGUGUGACAGUGAUGUUUGAGCAAUGUAUAUGUAUAUAGAGCAGAACGUAGAUUGAUCUUGCGUGUGCGUGCGAUGGAAAGUGCAAAUCAGUCUGUGGGUAAAAGUGCCUUCGCUACGAAUUUCGCUUCAUUAAGCGGAAGUUUAUUACUGGUGUCUCGAUCAUUCAGUUUCACUUUCUCUUUAAAAUUGCUCUUUCGCCUGUCGAUAUAUAUAUAUCUUCUUUUUUGUUGAUGAUUAACUUAUUUAUCGAAUGUUAUCUUCUGACCUGAAAAUGCUCGAUAUUGAUUACAUAAUUCUGUUUACUUCUUAGUAUUUGUAUAUAAGUUCAUCGUACUGUUUAAAUAUAAAAAAGAAAAUGAAAGAAUCACCGACAGGCGGAUAAACCGCGAAGAAACGAGCAAAAAAAACCGGCUCUUUGUAGUUUUUCCACAUAGUAUUUCGAAACUUCUGAUACGGUAAGCGUAGUGGCAAUCGAUCUGAGGUUCUAUUAAUAAAUCAGACCGAUUAUCCCGGACGAUAAUCUCGCAAAGUAGGCUAUUGUUUAAUUAUUUAAUAAUAGAUCGUGAAUGAGUUUUAUAUUCUAACGUAAAACCGCAUUCUGCAUACCGUGUAUGCUGACAAUAUUUUUUGUACCUUGUCCAAAUAAAAAUGGGGUCGAUUGUUUAUCGUGAUCGCCGUUUGUAAAAUCGUGAUUUCCUGUGAUCUCGUAAGAACUUUCAGUUCCAAACUCCAGCGGCAAUAUUUUCUUCGUUGCAUUCUUUAAAAGAGACGAACAAGAAAAGCAAAGCUGUAAAAGCGAUAUAAAUAUAAUGUAUGUAUUAUAUAUUAUAUUUGUAUGUAUGUACAUAAUACAGUAUUAUAUUUAAGACAAGUAUAUAGAUACUUAAAGAAUAUCGAAGUUCGAUGAGAUAUAUACAUAUAUAUAUAUUUGUAUUGCACAAUCAUUUUAUCGUUGUUGCCUUUAUAUUAAGGUACAAUAUAUUGAAGGAAACUGAAAAAAAAAAAAAGGAGAAACGAAAGUUCUUUUGCAGCACGAGUUCGAUUGUUAUACGAUACAUGUUACGUUUCUUUAUUAGGAAACGAUAUAUCAUAAUAUUGUGAUGUGUAAAACCCUGCAAUCCUAAGGGCUUCAUAGAAAUACCUUUGACUCUUUGGCUGACGCUUCUUAAACAGCGCUUCCGGUCGUCGCAUCUCUGUUAUGUAAUUGACGGGAUUAAAUGCAAAGGAAAUGCAAGUUAUACCUUACCAAACAGUUCAGCGCUCAAACGACUAAAGCUAGAAGCAUACGUUCCAUUUUGGAAAUUUUCUACUGUUACCUAACGUACAGUGGCUCACGAAAGUAUUUUAACACUUACUAUACAUUAUACAUAACUUCUAUGUUAGCUAUACGUAUCGUAGAUGUGUUACAGGAGACAUUUUAAAAUUUCAUUAGUGAUAUAACGAGACACGAGUGCUAUGAUUACAUUGGACAAAUUGGAAGUCAAUUUGAAAAUGUAUAUAUAAAUUACGAGAUAUUUAUUGUAAAUAUACAUUUGAUAAAAAAUAUAUGUACAUUAUGAACAGGCAUCUUAAGUAUAAUAACUGGCAAAAAACAAUCUUACUAAAUGAAUUUAAGGCUUAAUAUAAUGGACAAUUGACUAAUAAUUCUCUCAUCUAUACAUAUAUGUGAAAUAUAUACUUGCACUAAAUCUCUCGUAGUUUUUAUACACAUUUUCAGGUUUGUUUCAAUUUUUAUACAUACAUAUAAUCAUGGUAGUUGUGUUUCAAUAACAUAUACGAUUACAUAAUAUAUUAAUAAAAAUAUAUAGGAAUUUACUUUUGUGAUCAACUGUAUGUACAUAUAUAUAUUCUAUACUUCAUGGUAUACUUGCAACAAACUUCUCUUCAAAGUUUCAUACUUCCUUGCACCUUUGCAUUUAAUGUCAUCAAACUUUUGUAUCAAAUGUAAUUCUGUUGUUUCUAUGAAAUUUUUUAAUAGACACACUGAAAAGUUAUAUAACUAGUUCAUAUAAUGGUAAAAUUAGAGAAAGAAGUAUUCUUUUGUUCAAUUAUUGCGUGAAAAAUAUUACACCCUUCUUUGUCACGCCCUCUUUAGGAAAAAUUUCGUAAUCGAACCAUUCAAAUUCUCAGGGAUCUCGGCACAUGGAAUAUAGGUUAUUCAUGGUAUUGAGCGAUAAUGGUGGCGAACCAUAAUGAAGUUAUGCUAUAUAACAACAUUGUACAGUGCAUAAAGAUAUAUUGGCAAUGUGUGUUGCGAUAAUCAGACGAUAUUAUGUCAUAAUUGGCUUACAUUCACACUACUUGUUCAUAUGGCAGAUUGCCAAACAUAGUUGCCAACCACAGUUGUCCGAAACGUUGUUGCGAAUAUCACCUGCUGCUCAAUAACAAUUUUAUUUUUGAAACUUAAGGAUAGAAAAACAUUUAUGACGGAAAAUUAUGAUCAAGUUAACGGUAAAUUCAAUCAAAUUUUCUUAGGAUAAAAGAGAUAGAUUUCUAGUAUGUAACGUUACAUCGUGAAUGUCGCAGAGUGCGCUGACUUACAACGGUUUUAUCAUUGUCGGUAAAUCAGAUUCAUAUCAUUAGACUGCGGAUAUUUAUGCAAUUUGAUAUUUUUAUAAACAUGGUUAAAGAAGUCGUAUCUAAAUAGAAAUUUGUUUCAUCUACUAAGUAUCAUAAUAAGUGCUUUAAAUAUCUUAUAUAUCUUUACAUAUUAUAUUCUAUAGAUUUUUCGAAUCUUAAAUUUGCAAAUCGCAGUCUAUACGUUAUGUAUUGACUUCUGUUUGAAAAAAGUACUACAACUGAUUACUAAAAGUUUUAGAUCUGAUUUUUAAAUGUUUUUUGAAUGUCAAAAGCAGGAUUCGAAUAUUUGAAGGACCAACUGAUUUAUUAUUAAGAAUAACAUUUGAAUUUCGUAAAUGACUGUGAUAUAUUACUUUCGAUGAGUAUCAAGCUUAAAUAAAGGAAAUAUCUAUCUUAUUCACAGCAUGAUAUAUUUACAGAAUUAUGGCCUUUUAACCUAGGUGUGCCACAGUGAAUACAUAACUCAUAUCCUUUUAGAGAAAAGACAAAUGAAGCAAAUGAGAUAAUCACACGCACAUAAAACGUUACGUAAAAUGUUAAGAAUUGAAAUAUUGUUUCAAUUUGCCGCGUACUUUCUGGCUAAAUAUUUGAAAAUGAUGAUCAUGGCAGAGUAAGGAGAGUAAGACAGUUUUGAACGGACAAUAAACAUCAAGGGAGAGCUACUCUGUAAUGAGAUUAGAGAAAUUGGAAUAUUAAAAAAGAACAGGAGUUGCGUGCAAACGUUGAACAG